GUGUCAGCCGCCGCGGUAAUACGUAGGGUGCGAGAGUUAAUCGGAAUUACUGGGCGUAAAGCGUGCGCAGGCGGUUGUGCAAGACGGGUGUGAAAUCCCCGGGCUUAACCUGGGAACUGCACUUGUGACUGCACGGCUAGAGUACGGUAGAGGGGGAUGGAAUUCCGCGUGUAGCAGUGAAAUGCGUAGAUAUGCGGAGGAACACCGAUGGCGAAGGCAAUCCCCUGGACCUGUACUGACGCUCAUGCACGAAAGCGUGGGGAGCAAACAGGAUUAGAAACCCUGGUAGUCC
rnacentral:rRNA from 1 species